GAUGAACGCUGGCGGCGUGCCUAAUACAUGCAAGUCGAGCGAACAGACGAGGAGCUUGCUCCUCUGACGUUAGCGGCGGACGGGUGAGUAACACGUGGAUAACCUACCUAUAAGACUGGGAUAACUUCGGGAAACCGGAGCUAAUACCGGAUAAUAUAUUGAACCGCAUGGUUCAAUAGUGAAAGACGGUUUUGCUGUCACUUAUAGAUGGAUCCGCGCCGCAUUAGUUAGUUGGUAAGGUAACGGCUUACCAAGGCAACGAUGCGUAGCCGACCUGAGAGGGUGGUAGGCCACACUGGAACUGAGACACGGUCCAGACUCCUACGGGAGGCAGCAGUAGGGAAUCUUCCGCAAUGGGCGAAAGCUUGACGGAGCAACGCCGCGUGAGUGAUGAAGGUCUUCGGAUCGUAAAACUCUGUUAUUAGGGAAGAACAAAUGUGUAAGUAACUAUGCACGUCUUGACGGUACCUAAUCAGAAAGCCACGGCUAACUACGUG
rnacentral:rRNA from 1 species